AACAAACGCUGGCGGCGUGCCUAAUACAUGCAAGUCUAACGGGUAGCAAUAUCAGUGGCGCACGGGUGAGGAAUAUAUGGGUAAUCUGCCCUCGAGUCGGGGAUAACCAGUCGAAAGAUUGGCUAAUACCGGAUAAGACCACAGGAUCUGCGGAUCUAGGGGUUAAAGGUUUUUCGCUUGAGGAUGAGCCCAUACGGGAUUAGCUAGUUGGUGAGGUAAUGGCUCACCAAGGCUACGAUCCCUAACUGGUCUUAGAGGAUGAUCAGUCACACUGGAACUGAGACACGGUCCAGACUCCUACGGGAGGCAGCAGUAGGGAAUAUUGCACAAUGGGGGAAACCCUGAUGCAGCGACGCCGCGUGAGUGAUGAAGGCCUUCGGGUCGUAAAGCUCUGUCGUAUGGGACUAACACAAUGAAGGUACCAUGCAAGAAAGGAUCGGCUAACUUCGUGCCAGCCGCCGCCGUAA
rnacentral:rRNA from 1 species